GGUUGCGCUGCGACUCAAAGAUCCAGCUGACAUGCUUUGUAAUUCUCAAGUUCACGUACGACGAAAAGCAAAUGAUGAUCCUAGUUGAACGAGGACGAAGACCAGAAGACAGAACUUACGUUGCGACUCCACGAUGGCAGGAGUUCUUUGAGAAUGAAAUGAUUUUACCGCCAUCGGCCACAUUGAACUCUUCCUGGGGAGCCUUUGCGUUCACUGGUGAAUUCGUCAUUGCAGAGUUCUACAAAUCAGAGUCAUCGUCGUCGUCAUAUUACUUCAAGGCGGCCAGGCAGUUCUUUAUAGGCCAGCAUUAUUUGCAAUGGGUUACGUUGCUUGCGAUUAUUGGAAAAUUAUUUAAGUAACUUGCAAACUAUUUGCUAAAUUUAUAGACGUUUUUUUUCGGCUUUUUUAUUUAUUUUUUUUUAUAAAAAUAUAAAAUUAUUCAUACAUGCCAGUAUGAACGUGAGAA